rnacentral:lncRNA from 1 species
UCGAGGAGAAGUCUUCUGGAAUACGGCACUGCUUAGCAUAGAACAAAUCAGCUCUUUAUUGCUAGCUAUAAUGAUACAAGGGGAUUACAUCGGCACGACGACACUACGCCUGCCACGGUUGCUCCAUGCAAGCAGCAGAACAACACGAUGCAACGGAAUAACUCUAGCAGCGGAACAGUGACGACGGUGAUGAACUCCACUCUGCAGGGACUCUGGCUGGAACGCUUAUCCUAGCUCGCAAACAAGGAAUCCACGGCAAACAAGCAAUCAAUUCCGGCAUGACCUGCAAACUGGCAUGACACGCCAGGGCAGUACAUUGAAUGUACUUGCAAGCUCACAAUAACCAGAAGCAUUCAAGACAAACAACAGCAUGGCAAUUACAGGUUAAGCAGGAAUUAUCAUGAGAUCGUCAGGAUAACAUGGCAUGAACAACAUGAACAUGAUACAGCUAGAACAAUAUGAGCAUGGCAUGAUCAUAUAAAUCUGACGAUACUAGCAUGCAACAUGAUGACACUAUAUGCAUCACUUAUUCUGCUCGGUUUACCUCGUAACCAUCACAUGCAUCACUUACCAACCUCGAACAUCACACGAUCAUCUCAGGGUCAAAUCAAGCUUGGUAUAAACAAUACCGUAGUAAUCAUUAGAUGACCACAAGGAGCUUGAUCUUUACCCACGAUUCUCGCACAACAUCACGAAUAUCCAACAACUCGGUAUCCUCGAUACCACGGUGAUCAUUCACGGAUCACAAAUGGAACCACUCUUGGCUCAACGGGUUACCUCGUAACGAAACGGUGAUCAUACACGGAUCACAUAACCAACUUAUCUCAUCAUCGAACCAGGGUUGUUAUUAAGCACAUUAUUAUUAUUACUGUUGACGCAUAGUGUGACCAACUACGAACUGGGCCCUUAUCCGCGGGCGCGGCUAUCGAUAGAUUUAAUGCACACUCUGCAGAGGUUAGCACACUGUACCCACACCAUGGAACCCAUGGCCUCGCACUCCCAUUCGGGUGGACCAACGGCGUUCCGACAAAACCGUCCUACUGCCAUGACACUCUCCCGGCCACUCCGACCAACUCCCCUUUGGGCUAAGUCCUGGGUGGCCCCGUGCCUACCAAAGGCACCAACGGCCACCGUCGUGGCAAAACAUAAACGGUCCCAAACAGGGACAAUGUAUCAUAACAACAACAACGGGCACACAAGGCUUAUGUCCGCCUACCUGAUCAGGGUAGUGCGCGCCCAUAACCUUCCCUCGUUGGAGGCACCGACGAGAGGCACGACAAUAGACCCAGUUAGGACCUUCCCAUAAAGGUAAGCGUGGUUGCACUGGUCAGCUCGAUAUGGUGGCACUAUGACUCAGCCAACAGUUGUUCAAGUUCAAUUUAAUCCGGUUAAACUUGAAUGCAAAUAUGCUGAGCCAUGAUAAAAUAACAUGAUGCAAUUACAAUGCAUGAGCAGGAUAUCAACAUGAGCAUGAGGGUACAACAUAACUAUCAACCAUAUCAACAAUGAAUCAUAUCCAACUGAGCAUGGCAUAAUGGAGAGAAUGAAUACCACAAGUACAACACUACUCAUAGUAGCAGCAAAGGAACAAUACAUUACCGAGUAAACACUUAACCAACUAGCAGCAAAGGAACAAUACAUAUUAACAGUACUCGGUAACCGACGUUAGUCAUGCACCGAAGAACAUGACCAACCCAACAUGUACUACUAUCAAGCAUGACCAAUAUGAAAGUAAUACUAGCAAGUAGUUCAUGAUAACAAAGUGCCAGAAAGCAUAGCAUGACGGUAACCACCGAUCCAUAAGCAUAACCGAACUAACGAUAGCAGUAGCAAAACAAACAUACAAUUAUUAAAGAUUCAAGUUGAAAACCAAAGCUACUGCAUGGCUAUCAUGCAAAUGGUGGUUGUGGCUUGCCUGGGGAUGAAGAAUGCACCGGGGAGAAGUGCGGAAACAUCGCAGAAAGAUUCGCCGGAAACACUUCUCUCUCGAAAGGGGCUGGUUAACGGCAAGGGAAAAAUGGUCAUUUCCAAUAUGCCAAAACAUAAUGAAAGUGACACCAACGGAACGGGCUCGACGAUACGAAGAAGUGAGCGUUGGUUUCACCUCAAUCGGAGUUAUGGUUGCGGAGUUAUGAGGUGUAGAAGAUCAGGGACCAAUCUGUGAAUACUUUCAUCGCCAACGGAUCCCUGGCGGCUGAAACAGAAAGCGCCUUCGGGCAGAUUACGUUUUCUGAAAAGGGAAGCGUACUUUCAGCCGUAGAAGAAGAGAAUACGCUUUCCUGAAGGAAAAAUGCAUUUCAGGUAAAAGAGGAAGGAAAUACGCUUUCACAUAACGAAAACGCAUUUCAAGAAAACGUUUCCACUUAUCCGAGUGGAUAAGGUGGUGGCUCACUUACGGGUGGGGUCCGUUGGAGAGGGGGGGCCGCCUGGCCAGCUGGCAAGGCGUCGUCUUCCUCCUCCCCUCGCUCCUGUUCGUUCCCGAGCGAAACAGAACGGAAGCAGAGGAGGGAAACGACCAAG